rnacentral:rRNA from 1 species
CAGGCUUAACACAUGCAAGUCGAGGGGCAGCAUGGUCUUAGCUUGCUAAGGCCGAUGGCGACCGGCGCACGGGUGAGUAACACGUAUCCAACCUGCCGUCUACUCUUGGACAGCCUUCUGAAAGGAAGAUUAAUGCAAGAUGGCAUCAUGAGUCCGCAUGUUCACAUGAUUAAAGGUAUUCCGGUAGACGAUGGGGAUGCGUUCCAUUAGAUAGUAGGCGGGGUAACGGCCCACCUAGUCUUCGAUGGAUAGGGGUUCUGAGAGGAAGGUCCCCCACAUUGGAACUGAGACACGGUCCAAACUCCUACGGGAGGCAGCAGUGAGGAAUAUUGGUCAAUGGGCGAGAGCCUGAACCAGCCAAGUAGCGUGAAGGAUGACUGCCCUAUGGGUUGUAAACUUCUUUUAUAAAGGAAUAAAGUCGGGUAUGGAUACCCGUUUGCAUGUACUUUAUGAAUAAGGAUCGGCUAACUCCGUGCCAGCAGCCGCGGUAAUACGGAGGAUCCGAGCGUUAUCCGGAUUUAUUGGGUUUAAAGGGAGCGUAGAUGGAUAUUUAAGUCAGUUGUGAAAGUUUGCGGCUCAACCGUAAAAUUGCAGUUGAUACUGGAUAUCUUGAGUGCAGUUGAGGCAGGCGGAAUUCGUGGUGUAGCGGUGAAAUGCUUAGAUAUCACGAAGAACUCCGAUUGCGAAGGCAGCCUGCUAAGCUGCAACUGACAUUGAGGCUCGAAAGUGUGGGUAUCAAACAGGAUUAGAUACCCUGGUAGUCCACACGGUAAACGAUGAAUACUCGCUGUUUGCGAUAUACUGCAAGCGGCCAAGCGAAAGCGUUAAGUAUUCCACCUGGGGAGUACGCCGGCAACGGUGAAACUCAAAGGAAUUGACGGGGGCCCGCACAAGCGGAGGAACAUGUGGUUUAAUUCGAUGAUACGCGAGGAACCUUACCCGGGCUUAAAUUGCGGAUGAAUUACGGUGAAAGCCGUAAGCCGCAAGGCAUCUGUGAAGGUGCUGCAUGGUUGUCGUCAGCUCGUGCCGUGAGGUGUCGGCUUAAGUGCCAUAACGAGCGCAACCCUUGUUGUCAGUUACUAACAGGUUCCGCUGAGGACUCUGACAAGACUGCCAUCGUAAGAUGUGAGGAAGGUGGGGAUGACGUCAAAUCAGCACGGCCCUUACGUCCGGGGCUACACACGUGUUACAAUGGGGGGUACAGAGGGCCGCUACCACGCGAGUGGAUGCCAAUCCCCAAAACCUCUCUCAGUUCGGACUGGAGUCUGCAACCCGACUCCACGAAGCUGGAUUCGCUAGUAAUCGCGCAUCAGCCACGGCGCGGUGAAUACGUUCCCGGGCCUUGUACACACCGCCCGUCAAGCCAUGGGAGCCGGGGGUACCUGAAGUGCGUAACCGCGAGGAGCGCCCUAGGGUAAAACUGGUGACUGGGGCUAAGU